AUCUUUUUAUAGUUCAUAAGAGUGAGGAUUGGGUUUUCAGGUGCAUGCGUGAGAUGUGCCGCCCUAAAACCUUGUUACGGCAUCUGUAUGUUACCCAUCUGACA